CCGUUGCCGGCGACCGGCGCACGGGUGAGUAACACGUAUGCAACCUGCCCGUGGCAGGGGGAUAAGCGGGGGAAACCCCGUCUAAUACCGCGUAACGCGGCCUAGGGACAUCCCAAGGCCGCCAAAGGGAGCAAUCCCGGCCACGGAUGGGCAUGCGGCGCAUUAGCUAGUCGGCGGGGUAACGGCCCACCGAGGCGACGAUGCGUAAGGGUUCUGAGAGGAAGGCCCCCCACACUGGUACUGAGACACGGACCAGACUCCUACGGAAGGCAGCAG
rnacentral:rRNA from 1 species